UGUUGCAAACUACUUUCAUUAGCCAUUUCGAAAGAGCGAAUCACAUUCGAACAUGCCGGAAAAGAGCAUACCGCGACGAUGUUGCGAUUUCAACUGUGCAAAUCGACAUCUUUUACGCCGGAACGCAUGUAUUAUUCCUUUUGCCACAACACCUUUUGCGUGAUUCGUGCUUUGAACGACCGCAAGUGAGAGACCAUGCACGUAUAGGUCGGCAUGGUGAUGGCUGGAACGUUAGGUUUGGACUGGUUGGUGCAUUGCUUCGUUUCCUCAACCAACUGUUUUAGGUUUCCGAGCAUUACUUCGCUACGAAGCUCCUCUCUUUUCCUCCUAUAUAUACGUUCGAUCCAUCAACUUCGUUAUCCGCAUCCGCUGCAACUUCGUCCGCCAAUUUGAGAGAGAGAGAGAGAGAGAGGAAGAGAUCAUGCCUCCGCCUUGGGGACCACCGCCGGGACCGCCGGGGCCGUUCGGGUUCCUUUGCGAUGGGAUAUGUCGCCUCAUUUCCUCUUGUGCGUACGUGCUGUGUUGCUGCUGCCUCUUCGAGAGUUGCUGUGGGCCUAUGUUCGGCGGGCCCGGAGGCCCAGGUGGAGGCCCACCACGCUUCUGAGCUCACCCCUUUUUCCAAGGAAAACGUAAAUGUCAAAAAAAAGAAAGAAUAAAUUUCAAGACUCUUGAUCCUCGGUGUAUUUCAUUUCAUGCCAGCUUUCUAGAAUUCUACACGUGUCCUUGUUCUCUUCCAUACGAUGUCGUAUUGUCGGUUGACUUUGCCUACGAAGCGAUGACUGAUGGAUGGCACAUUUGUUGCUGUGUGGACGACAUUAAUGCGACCGUUUCCU